AACCAUAGAAACCUGCGGAGUACCUGCGGAGGGAUCAUUACAGAAUAAAUAUGAUAGGUUGUCGCUGGCCAUCGGGCAUGUGCACACUUGUCAUUUUUAUCUUUCCACCAAGUGCACUUUGCAUAGGACUGAAAACCUUUUGAUCAGGGGGUCACCUUUGAUUUCUGGAAAAUGCUGUUGUAACUCGAUGACGGCUUUUUCUGACUUCAGUUCCUAUGAUUUAUACACAUACACCAAUUG
rnacentral:misc_RNA from 1 species